CGGGCACGGCGCAGUGAAAGUGGUAGUGUCGGCGGGCACACACGGCGCUUUCGUGCUGCCUCGUGAUCUGUCAUAAUCGACUGACUAUAUACAUGAAAAUCUGUGAUUGCACGAGGAUCGCUUCCUAUACGCCAAAGAACUUGCAGUGAAGUGAACAUGAUGUGAGGCGGCCACAACGGCACGUUAGCCGGAAUUACGGACUAAAGGCUCGCAAGACUAACUGGUUCAGACACAGUGGACGAGUGUCUAAUCAAGAAGAAAGCAUUUUCUCAGUGAAGAAAGUUUCAGAAAAAGUGGAAACAUGUCGCAACGCAUGCAGGAGAGUCCCUUCCGCGAAACGGAAUGGGAUCAGCGCCUUGACCGGAUGCUCGAUGACCUAAAGACGACCGUAGGAAGCGACGGCGAGAUGUCGGGGACGGAAGGGCGCUCAGACCCUCGG